AUUCGACAAAGGCUCCGAUGAUGUAAGCCACCCAAAUUCCGAGAGCCAAAGAAGAGGCUGUUAUGGAACCCAACCGUCCGCGUAUGUUCGGUGACGAACAUUCGCUCACCUUAUCGUUCACAAGAUUCAACGGCCGGAGUCGUGCAUCCGACGGCGAGUCCUUGCAGUAUACGGCCAACGUACAACAUGGCUUUGUGCUUGCCGAAACAGGUGAGCCCCACGGUGAGAAAACCGAAUAUGUAAAGCAGAUAAUGACCAACCAGUGCUUUCUUACGACCGAAAUAUUGCAUCGGAAUGCUCACUACCAGAGCCCCAAAGAAAGAUCCACACAUGGGAACAGCAGCUAUACAGAAAGCGUCCUGUUGAGUGAUGGCAAUCCAGGAGAGCCCCAUCCUCUGGAUGUGCCCAUGCAAAAGUAACCCCAUGACCCGACCACGGCCGCCAUCAACUGCCACAUACAAUCAUUCGGUAAAUGUAUUUCAUCGUUUUCUAUUGAAUGAACCCAUUGUACAGUACCUGGGGUAAGACUUUGUGGGGGUUCUUCAUCAAACUCUGUUUCACCAUUUUCUCGCUUUUUGUUGGCGUAAUGAGUUUUAAAAAAAAAGCAGAAAAGAGCUCACUGAUGUAGUCAAUCGAAGGGCUUGUCGAAUCGCCUUGUCCGUUUGGCAACAGCUGUGGAGCUCGUGUGAUGGCCGGAGAAGAUCCAGGCACAAAUAAUCGGAUGAUUGUGGAGAAUUCGUAGGGCGAACGCUUUCAUUUUAUAGGCAGCGCGGCUGCAAAUCAUUCUAGGAAAUUUGAGAUUCUUGAAAGGUUUGUUCUGUAUUUAAUGCUGGAUGUCGCAACGGUUUGCUGUUGGUGACUAUUAUGUUUUAGUUUGAGGGCUCGGUAGCGUGAAGAAUACUGAUGCCAAUGGACUUCUUAACCUGAAUGAUAGGGCGCACGCGACUAGACAAUUAUAGUUAGUUGUUUAUUUAUAAUUUCUAUCUUUGGGAAAACCUACCCACCACAAAAUGAUGGAUCUUGCUGAAAUAUUUGCGUUUGGCCGAUUUGUGACUGACUUUUUUUUUUUUUUUAAUUUCUCUCGUGAUCUUGAAAAGAUUAAAAUGUGAAUCCGUAGUCCACCGGCACGUAUACAUUGUUGCCCUCUGUGUAUCAACGCGUUUUUCCGGGCGGUAUUUUGUUUUCGUUACGUUGCGCUGAGAUUUGCUGGGCAUGGAUCGAAGACCUGCACGUCGGUUUUUGCUUGAUGCGUUUUCGUAACAAGGUAGAGUGUUGCAAGAACAAGGAAUUCACAUUAAGGCAAAGCAUAAUGGCUUUAUUGUCGCCCCUUUCUUCAGAAAGACGGUUUGUUAACUUGCUUUUAAUGUCAUAUUGAUAUUAAUUUUAAGAAGCCUAGUAAAUAUGUUACCAGAUGGCGAUUCUAAACAUCCUCAUGAUCAAUGGAAUCUAUCUAUCGUGGGAUCAAUGAAUUUAGAAUUAUCUAAUCAAAAUCUCUUUCUAUGUCGGUAAAAUCUAUUGCCCCAUAGAUUCCAGGGGGGGCUCUAGUGUAAAGAUGUGCUACUGUCCCGUGGAUACCAGGUGGCGCCGAUGUGGUAAUUGUGUUAUACCUAUUAAUCUGGAAGGUAAAAUUGCUGGUUUAACGUGAAAAGCAAUUAUUUAUUAAAAAUCCGCGUUCGAUUUUGAUAGUGCCGUGUGAUUUUUGUCGAAUUUCAAGAGAUGUUAUUUUUUUCAGAUUUUGACAAAAGUGGGAAGGCUAUACCCUUCCCACUUUUUCAUUUUUGGCCAAAAUUUUAAUUUUUAUUAAAAUACUUGAUUUUGAUUCAAAAUCGAAUAAAAAUCAAGAAAAUCAAGUUUAUUAUUCCAGUGGUCCUAUAGUUUUUGAGCUAAACGUAAAAAAAAAAACUAAACAAAAAUAUAAUUAAACAGCGUAUGUUUUUGUAUAUUUAAAAAACUGCUCGUUUAACGAAGAAACCAGCAACUUAUUCGACAUCAGCGUUCAACUUUGAUUCUGCAGUGGGAUUUUUGUCGUAUGUCGAUUGGCAAAAAAAAAAAGUGGAUAGGAGAUUGCCUUCGCAAUUUGGUCAAAAUCUGAAGAAAAGAAAAGAACGACAUUUGUUGACAUUCGGCAAUGGCAAUGGCAAUACCCAAAUCGAACGCUGAUUUCGAUUAAAUUAUAGGUUUUCCCAUUAAACGAGCGAUUUUACCUUUCAAAUUAACUGGUACAGCACAAUCACUACUCCAGCGCCAUCUAGUAUCCGCGGAGCAAAAGCAAGUUUUGGCACUGGUACGGUGUACGCGUGUACCUCACCAGAGCUCCGUGGACUCCAGUAUUAGGUGUGACCUCCUUUUGACCUUUGUCGUCUGGUGGCCAUCUUGAAUUCUUGAUGCAUUACAAACUCGAGUGCAGGGCUUUGUGCAGUAUAUGUAGAAAAUCUAAUAAAAAUGUCCUCCAAUCCUAAUACAUCUCGAUAUUUUUUAGAAAAUGAGUGGUAUUCUUCUUAUUAACGUAUGGAAAUGUUUGGCUACUUUCUUUGAAGGAAGACAGUGCAGGUAAAUCAUCAAACUCUUGUGGCAAUUUAGACAAAAACACCAGUCAGGUCAAGUUGGCAUAGCUCGAUUAGGACCUGCAGCCGGAAAUGGAAAUCGCCUUCGCCUGGAGACUCCAGAUCAGCGCCUUCCAGCCCAAAUGAAGUGGCGUGCCGUCAAAUUUUCCCAGAAAGACAUUGAAGAGAUUUUGCUUCACCUUUAAAUGAAGAUAACAGUUCAGAAUUUGAUCGAUGUUUGUUGGAACUGGCGGAGAGUUCAAUUGACUUAACCAACAAGACCCCAGAUUUCCUGUAAGAUCGAGAAAGAAGUUAACCGAGAAAUAAAAGGCAUCUAGACAAACGGAAAAUGUCAUCAUAAAAUUUUUUCCUUGAUGCAUCAAAUGCCUUUCAACUAACAAAAUGGAUGCAAACAAACCACGAAAAAAGAAGUUGUUUCAACAGGCACACACAUUUAAUUAUUCUUGUUUUGUCUUUUGCAUUAGAGUCAGAGUUCCAAGGCAGUUCUGUUGGCUUAAAAGGUUCAGCUGGAAGCGAACGUAUCUCGUCGGGAGUCAUUGGAACUCAAAAAUAUAAUAAAACCAGGGAGAGAUUGCUAAUGUAUUGAGCAUCACAGCGAGAAAACGAGCGUCUAAAUUCCCCAGCAAUACGUGCGACCUUAUCCAGAAGGCAACAGCAGGAUCGCGCAUUCGUCAAGGAUAAUGCCAACCUCCUGUGCGGAUUUACGUAAAAAUCGGAUCCGGUGUUCGGAGUGGGAUUGGUUACCUUGCCUCGACCAAAGAAGGUUUCAGUCGCCAGUUUUGGUUGCAUCGCAUUGACUGAUGCAUUGCUGAUGCUUCGGGACCAUUAACGUCAGCCUCUGUGGCCUAAUGGAUAAGGCACCGGCCUCCUAAGCCGGGGAUUGCGAGUUCGAGUCUCGCCAGAGGUACGGAUUGUAAUGCUAGCGAGCUGACAACCAAUACAUUUUCCUGAUUGAACAUCUUUUGGAAGCUGGUAAAGUGCUGGCUGGACCAGGUUUUGCACCCAAGCAGAACUUGUUGUGUGUCUUUCUUGAUGAGCUGGAGAGAACUCUGUUUUCCUACUUGAACACCUUUUGGAGGUUCGUAGGUGCUGAGCGGGACGAGCGAAGCUGGAAACGGUUUGCUAACAAAGUCCUUCAGUGUUUUCUUAACGCCUGGAAGUGGUUUCACCUCGGCCGUCCGGUUUACUCGUGUGGUUGUAUGGAACGGGACGGAAGCCGAUGCUGCGGAAGACGGUACCACAUUUCUGCAGACGGGGACGGACUUCUUCACAGGAAUUUUAGGCUCCAGUUCCAAAAUCGGCCAUGUCAGAUACUCAGAAACAGCGGAGGAAUCGUGGCGAAUACGUUGAUCGGACAAAUGAACAACCAAAUCUGCCUCAACCAAAAUCUGGUGCUCGUUGAAAGACUGGCAGACACGUUUGGGACGGCGACUUUAGCGAUAAUCAUCGAAGAUGUUCUGGAAAGUGACGUCGCCCUCUCGACAAAUAAAAAGGAACAAUCGUUGGUGCAGAAGCCAGAAGCAAGUCAAUCAAUUAGCGACCGUGUGCAACUUCAUACCAACAUAUUUGGAUGGCGUUGUGGACGGAUGCCAUGUAUUGCAAAAUUGCAACUGACAGAAAACAGUGGCAUUUGUGACGUGAUAUACAUAUACCAAUGUGAUAGUGACUGCCAGGUGACUUCUGGCAGGAAUGGCACGGAAUGAUCGUCCAUCAUCACCAAUUAGGGGACGUGGUAAAGUAUAUCGUAGUUAGCACUGCGUUAGUUUCGGAGAUUCAUGUUAAAGCAAUUACAUUUUGUACCAGGAAACAUAGACUGCAAGUACUUAAAUUCUUUAUUGUUCGUUCUCAAAAUACGCGAAUGUGCUGUCUGUUUUUUUCUAAAUUUGUUAACUUUUAAAUUUGGCAGCAUCUUGAUUCGUUCGAUCUCGAGUCAUAAACGUAACUAUUGGCAGCUCUGCAUCCUUGCAAUGAGUAGCCAAAAUUGCAGUUAUGCUAAAUUUUAGAUAGGCCUUAGAGUAAUACGAGUCUUUGGGUAGAUGUGAUUCCAUCAAAUUGUGCAAAAAUAAAAUGUGGAAUGUUUGUGAAAAGCCAAUGGGAUAUCAUUCGUGAUCAGCUGAUUUCCGUGUGUGCAUAUUAAACAGUAAGUCUCAUUUCUGAAAAAAUUUGAUGUUUCAAUGUCUAUCAGUAGCCGUUUGUGAAAACCUUGAAUCGACGAACAAUUUCGAACUUUGAAAUUUUUACAACUACACGCUUGCCUUUAUUGUAAGUAAACAAUAUUUUGGUUAUUAGAGAAAUAUUGGCUUUAGCGUUUGCUUUUCACUAGCUGUGGUGGCCCUGGAAAGGGGCCAUUUUGUCUAGUGCAUUGCAAUUUUGGCUUUAGCGUUUGCUUUUCACCAGCUAUGGUGGCCCUGGAAAGGGCCAUUUUGUCUAGUGCAUUGCAAUUUUGGCCUAGGCAAUGGCGCCUAGUUGCUCUUUCACGCCAUUGUUCAGAGUAAAAGGAGGGAAAAACGAUAAGAAUAACGGUUACAGGGCUCACUUUUUGAAGGAAUUAUUUCGUCGUUAUAAAGUUGCAAAUCAUUGUAUUGUGUGAAGCAUUGUCAAUAAAAAUUGUUUUUAAC